CAGCGGAGCGUGUGGUUUAAUUCGAUGUUACACGAAGAACCUUUACCAGGGUUUGACAUGCAAGUGGUAGGAAGCCGAAAGGUGACCGACCCUUCGGGGAGCUUGCACAGGUGCUGCAUGGCUGUCGUCAGCUCGUGUCGUGAGAUGUUCGGUUAAGUCCGCUAACGAGCGCAACCCUCGUCGUAUGUUAUAUGUGUCAUACGAGACUGCCGGUAAAAGCCGGAGGAAGGUGAGGAUGAUGUCAAGUCAGCAUGACCUUUAUAUCCAGGGCUACACACACGCUACAAUGGUCUGUACAAUGGGUAGCCAAGCCGCGAGGCGGAGCCAAUCCUGAAAGCAGGCCUCAGUUCAGAUUGCAGUCUGCAACUCGACUGCAUGAAGCCGGAGUUGCUAGUAACCGCAGGUCAGCAAUACUCGCGGUCGAAUACGUUCCCGGGUCUU
rnacentral:rRNA from 1 species